GGGGGGAGGUCGGAUCCUGGGCUGUUUCUCGGCGCCCAGUGCUCCCGGGCCCGUGCUGUUGGAUUCAGGCUCCAGGCCGCGCAGCCGCCU
rnacentral:pre_miRNA from 1 species